AUGGGAACCAGCCUGCUGAACCUUCUCCUCAUGGAGGUGGCGGCCAUCGUGAGCAUCAUCCUCCUGUCCCUCCUCGUCGUGCUCAGCUCCUACCGCCGCCGCGCCGGCCACCCCGCCCUCCGCCUCUUCGUGUGGGCCGCGUCCACGCUCUUCCUCCCGCUCGUCUCCUACGCGGUCUCCGCGGCCGCCAAGUGGGACGCCGCGCGCGUGCCCCUCCUCCUCGCCUGGACCGUCUUCCUCCAGAUCCUGCGCAACACCAUCGACACCGCCCGGUGCUCCUCCCUCACCAUCGACAGCAACGCCUCCGGCGGCAGCAAGUUCCGCCCCUCCGUCGAGCAGCUGGCGCGGAUGGGCUGGGUGGCGUUCCUCAUCAUCAGCAGCGGCGGAGAGGCCGGGAGCCCGCAGCUCACCGGCGUGCUCCUUUGGCUGUGGGUGCUCAGCCUCGUCAAGCUCAUCCACCGGCUCGUCGCCGCGGAGCUCGCCAAGAACUCGUUCGCCGUCGGCCUCAACGCUUACCUCAUCUCCGACUACAUGAAGCAACUCCAUUGCCGAGAGCAAGAUCAUCCAGACGGCGUGCCGCCUUACCUGGUGAUGGGCGAGGAGAAGCUGCACAUCGAGGCCAGGCCGCAUGGGUACCAAAUUGGCAGGACGUCUCAGGCGCCGUCGUUGUCCGCCGAUGCCGGGCACGUGGUCACCAUGGACCGGAUAUGGCGGCUUUAUUCCGCCGGAGACUCGCUCCUCGCGGCUUAUCCGCACACCAAGGAUCUCUGCCUGUCCUUCUCCCUGUUCAAGCUGCAGCUCCGGAGGUUCCUCGGGUGCCCCCUCGCGGAGGUGGGCUCUCGCCGAGCUCUCGCAUUCGUCCACGAUGGCCUCCUCGCCGGGAGCCCGGAGAGAGCAUUCGGGGUGAUCGAGACCGAGCUGGCCUUCCUCGCCGACUUCCUCUACUCCAAGCUCACCUCCUUCUACGCGAGCGGGUGGUGGUUCCCGGUGCUCAACUCCAUCCUCGUCCUCGCCACGUGGGUCAGCUGCCUCGCGGCCGGCGGCGCCAUCGUGCACGACAUGACCAACCAAGGCACGGCGCUCGCCGUGGACUACGGCGUGCUCCGGGACUACCUGCAACGCCACGACACCGUGUUUCACGCCAUCGUCGUCCUCGACGUGCUCGUCACCGUAUCCUUCAUCGUCGCCAUCGUCUUCACCGAAGGGUGGGAGAUCGCCAACUACGUCCGCUCCGACUGGAUCAAGGUGGCCACCAUCUGCGAGUACGCGCGCCGCCCGUCCUGGCGCAGGUCGCGGUGGACGCGCGGCAAGCUCGGCCGCGUCCUCCGGUUCACGGCCGUCCAGCGCUGGGACGACCGGUUCGGUCAGACGUCCGUCCUGCAGACCCGGGUGUGCUACUGCGGAUGCGUUUCCCGGCAGGUCGACCGGAUCUCCAAGACGUCAGUCCCCGUGCCGCCGUCGGUCAAGGCAGCCAUCGUGACGACGCUGAGGACAAACCACGGAGCACUCGGGAACGGCGUGCUGUCGUUGCAACGGAGCGGCGUCGUCGAUAAGUUUACCUGGGCUUGCCGCGUCGGUGACGGCGGCAGUGGCGAGAGAAGCAUCUCCGAGCAGAUCCUCGUGUGGCAUGUCGCCACGAGUUUGCUCGAGAUCAAGCGCUCGGAGGCAGCGGCUCAUGGCAGCGACAACGACGUCGAGGAUGGCGGAGACUGCGACGACACGGUGGUCGUGGCCACGCACCUGUCACGGUACUGCGCCUACCUCGUGGCGCUGAAGCCACAGCUCCUGCCGGACCACCCGGCGUGGACGGAGGAGCUCUACGAGGGCGUCGCGGAGGAGGUGGCGAGGGUCCUCGCGCGCUGCGCCGGGCCGUUGGUGCGGUACGAGCGAGCGGCGACGUGCCUCGGCGGGAGUAUGAACGAGACGCUGAGGAAGGCUUCGAAGCUCGCCCGGCAACUGGCCGAGGAGGUCGGCGACGAGGAGGCGGUCUGGAGAAUCCUGGCCGAGUUCUGGGCGGAGCUCAUCGUCUUCCUUGCGCCAUCGGAGAACGUGACGGCGCAUGCCAAGUCGCUCCGCCGUGGUGGUGAGUUCAUCACCGUGCUUUGGGCGUUGCUCGGGCAUGCGGGCAUUGUUUGCCGUCCCGAGAGUGACGUCGAACACUCGCGCUAG
rnacentral:rRNA from 1 species